rnacentral:misc_RNA from 1 species
GGACUCGGAGAAUCAUGCUAUUAGGAGAGCUGAUAUGGGGAGGAGGGUUGUGGACACGUUUUACCCAAAAAGCAAAUCAAAUAAAGAUAGCAGUAUAUGGAGCUGGAUAUUGGGAAAGCUUUGGCCUAGAAAUGAUCUAGCUGCACAGUCUGAGGAAUUGAAUCCAGAUGCAUUGCUGUUUCCAUGGCACAUUCUGGAAUCUCCAAACGGCGAUCUCCUCAUUUUUAACCGCAGCUGUGAGACGUUGUGGAUCAUGGAUUUAGCCUCAGGCUUGAUCAGAGAGGUUAUUAAAGGAUUCCAAUAUUUUGGAGAUCUGUGAGCCAUUGAUCCUGGAGAAGUCGAUGCUUUUGAAUCAAAUACCU